UACGUAGGGGGCAAGCGUUGUCCGGAUUUAUUGGGCGUAAAGAGCGUGUAGGCGGCCAAGCAGGUCCGUUGUGAAAACUGGAGGCUUAACCUCCAGACGUCGACGGAAACCGCGCGGCUAGAGUCCGGAAGAGGAGAGUGGAAUUCCUGAUGUAGCGGUGAAAUGCGCAGAUAUCAGGAAGAACACCAAUGGCGAAGGCAGCUCUCUGGGACGGUACUGACGCUGAGACGCGAAAGCGUGGGGAGCGAACAGG
rnacentral:rRNA from 1 species